AUUGAACGCUGGCGGCAUGCUUUACACAUGCAAGUCGAACGGUAACAGGCCGCAAGGUGCUGACGAGUGGCGAACGGGUGAGUAAUGCAUCGGAACGUGUCCAGUCGUGGGGGAUAACGCAGCGAAAGCUGCGCUAAUACCGCAUACGAUCUAUGGAUGAAAGCGGGGGACCGUAAGGCCUCGCGCGAUUGGAGCGGCCGAUGUCAGAUUAGGUAGUUGGUGGGGUAAAGGCUCACCAAGCCAACGAUCUGUAGCUGGUCUGAGAGGACGACCAGCCACACUGGGACUGAGACACGGCCCAGACUCCUACGGGAGGCAGCAGUGGGGAAUUUUGGACAAUGGGCGCAAGCCUGAUCCAGCAAUGCCGCGUGCAGGAGGAAGGCCUUCGGGUUGUAAACUGCUUUUGUACGGAACGAAACGGUCCUGGUUAAUACCUGGGGCUAAUGACGGUACCGUAAGAAUAAGCACCGGCUAACUACGUGCCAGCCGCCGCGGUAAUAC
rnacentral:rRNA from 1 species